rnacentral:lncRNA from 1 species
UUUAACAAAUAAACUAUCGAGCCAGAAUCCAAACCCUAGAAUUACCUUGCCGAUAACGAUCAAAACAAAAUCGAGCAUGAAUAAGAGAUAAAAUUUUUACUUUCACCAAAAAUUAAGAAGUGGUAUAUUGGUGUUCUCCACAAGACCCCAAGGUAGAAGUCCCCCAACGAUGAUCCACACGAAAGUUAGCCAAGGUUCUUCCCAACUGAUGCACUGCCGUAGCCUUAUCCCCU